rnacentral:rRNA from 1 species
CCUACGGGAGGCAGCAGUGGGGAAUUUUGGACAAUGGGCGCAAGCCUGAUCCAGCAAUGCCGCGUGAGUGAAGAAGGCCUUCGGGUUGUAAAGCUCUUUUGUCAGGGAAGAAACGGUGAGGGCUAAUAUCCUUUGCUAAUGACGGUACCUGAAGAAUAAGCACCGGCUAACUACGUGCCAGCAGCCGCGGUAAUACGUAGGGUGCAAGCGUUAAUCGGAAUUACUGGGCGUAAAGCGUGCGCAGGCGGUUUUGUAAGUCUGUCGUGAAAUCCCCGGGCUCAACCUGGGAAUUGCGAUGGAGACUGCAAGGCUAGAAUCUGGCAGAGGGGGGUAGAAUUCCACGUGUAGCAGUGAAAUGCGUAGAGAUGUGGAGGAACACCGAUGGCGAAGGCAGCCCCCUGGGUCAAGAUUGACGCUCAUGCACGAAAGCGUGGGGAGCAAACAGGAUUAGAUACCCCGUAGGUACGUACCGACCGUAACCCGUAAACGUAUCGUACUACGUUAGUUCGGGUUUUACGGGUUUUAAACUUUAACGGUUUAACGGUAACGCGACGUACCGUAACCGGUCGUAAGUAAGGUAACCGACCCGUCGGGUAGGGGUAACGGUUCGGGUCCGACGAAGUAAACUUAAACCAAGAAAGUAGUUACGGACGUGAGAGAGCGACGACGACGACGACGGAGGAGGAGG